rnacentral:rRNA from 1 species
AGCGAACGCUGGCGGCAGGCCUAACACAUGCAAGUCGAACGAACCUUUCGGGGUUAGUGGCGGACGGGUGAGUAACACGUGGGAACGUGCCUUUAGGUUCGGAAUAACUCAGGGAAACUUGUGCUAAUACCGAAUGUGCCCUUCGGGGGAAAGAUUAAUCGCCUUUAGAGCGGCCCGCGUCUGAUUAGCUAGUUGGUUGAGGUAAUGGCUCACCCAGGCGACGAUCAGUAGCUGGUCUGAGAGGAUGAUCCGCCACAUUGGUACUGAGACACGGCCCAAACUCCUACGGGAGGCAGCAGUGGGGAAUCUUGCGCAAUGGGCGAAAGCCUGACGCAGCCAUGCCGCGUGAAUGAUGAAGGUCUUAGGAUUGUAAAAUUCUUUCACCGGGGACGAUAAUGACGGUACCCGGAGAAGAAGCCCCGGCUAACUUCGUG